rnacentral:lncRNA from 1 species
GUGCUGGCUCCCAGAAGAGGAACCUGCUGCAGGCGCCGGCGCGGGCGGCGAGGACGACCUGUUUUUCUGACCCAGCCCGGAAGCGCUGGUGCAGGUGGUCUCUGAAUGAGGGUUCCUCUUUGCCUCUGAUGUCUGGAAGGGGAAUUCAGCAAGAGGGACUCCAGUCUGGAGCUCUGACCCCAACUUCCUCAAUCCAGGCCCUCAAAGAGGGCGGCCUGUGUCACCGGGCGCCGGAUUCCCCGGGGGGUGCCCGGGGUUGGGGCGGCACAUUCCCACCUGGAGUGCCCUCAUGCCUGGCUAUGCCGGACCUGCAGGGUCACACCCUCUCUCUGGACCUUUCCCUCCCCUGCACCCCCGCCCACGCCCCAGGCCCUCUGCUGCUUAAGCCAUGGCCCUGGGUCUGUAUCCUGACCUGGGCUGGUCAUUGUUCUGCAUUGGGUAGUUUAAUUACAACUUUCUCUGCGCUUAUCUGGUCUAUGAGCUCGUGAUCGCAGGGACCCUAGCACAGGGUCUGGGACUUACUGAGAGAUCAGUAAAUGUUCAUGGAUGGUGGACAUGGGUGUGUAGGAUGCCGGUCUCCUCCCCUGAGAAGGGGCUUGGGCAGAGGAGUCCCUAGUUCGCCAGGAGCAGCCUCGCCCCACCUGACCAGGCCUGGGACAAACCAACAGGUUGCUGUCCUGGAAGGAAAGGGGUGCCUCCUUCCACCUGGGGAGGCUGAGCUGCUUCUCUCCUCUUAGGCCCUGUGCUGCAAGGCGCCCAUACCUCCAGUCCGCACCUCAGGAGUCCUUCCCGUGUCCUCUGGGAGUUCCUGCCCAUGCUGGCUGAGGCCCCAGGUCUGCCUGGGAGCAGUCCCACAGAGGGAAGGUGGUGGAGGAAGGGGCAGGGAUGCUGGCUGAGGAAAGGCCCUCUUUCCUACGAUGGCUGUACCCAGGAAGCCGGCCGCAGGUUCCCUAAGCCGAGGCAGCGCUGGCUGUAGUUUCUCUGGGCUCCUGGGCUGGUGCACCUGCCCCUGCCUUCAGAACGGGCCCCUGUGCAUGGCUGGCAUCUGUGAUUGGGGGUAGUGCGUGUUUCUGAGUAAUGUGAAAAGAGCAGCUUCUUUGACUUCACCAUUCCUAGAAAAUGGCCUCAACUUGCUGGAAGAGUGGGGACAGAGGGUCUCAGUUUCUCAUGUGAAGCUUGCAGGCCAUUGUCUUCAGCACCCAGCAUGUUUUGGGGCCUUUGAGGGACUUGAGGGGCUUUUUGAGGAACUCUGGGCAUGGGGUUUUAGCCGAGGCUGAAAGUGGAGUUCCCAGGCUGCUGUGCUGAGUCCCAGCUCCCUGCAGCCUCCUGGGUCUGGCCACGUCCACCCGCCCUCCUCCUUUCUCCUGCAGUUGUGCCUCUUUUCCCUGCUGCCUCCUCAGCCAAGCCCAGGGAAGGACUUAAAGGGCAGUGGAGGGGGAAAGAGGCUGGUGGCCUUGAUGCCUCUAGGCAGCCGCCUGUUCUCUGGGCUCUGGGCCUGGGUGCCCAGGGAGGAUGAGUGUCAGUGGAUUUAUUUUGCAUCAGAAGGAACAGACUGCUCCAGAUGCCUUUUCUGGAGUGUUAGGACUUGGGGCAAAAGAGAUGGGCCCAUCUCCUGAGUUUAGUGCCUGGAGUUUGCUUUAGUGCUAAAGCAAGAAGUAAAAAUGGGAUUUAAAGAAACCAAAUGGAAUCACAGUCAUGGAGUGUCAGACCUGGACGAUGCCUUGGUGACGAGGUGACUCCCUUCCCUUGGCAGAGCAGUGGAAGAAACUGAAGCUCUGAGAAAUUCAGGGAUGUGCUAGAGGUUCCAGAACUAGGCCUGGAACUUUCUUCGGGGUUCAGUGCUAUGCCCGAAACAGUGGAAGGAGCCCGCAGUGUGGCACAGAGCCCCUUCAGAGCUCCAGCAAUCUUGAGCUUAGCGUAUGAGUAGACCCUGGAAGCCAGAGGACUGCCUGCCAUCUCCCCAGAGUUCUCAGGACCAGUGCUGCUGAGGUGAUGCACUUGAAGUGUGUGUCCACAGUGGUCAAAAGUUAGCGCUGGGGCCCUGUGCCCUGGCUCCCACAUCUCCAGGUCUGGCCUCCAUCGGCCCCUCCCUUUCCUUUGUGGCCUUGGCCUUGGCUUAUCAGUGUCUCUGCCAGGAUGUCCUCAUCCUAGAGGGUGAGCUGAUAAGGCAGUCUCAUAGGAUGCAGGGUUGGAAGGUGCCUCAGGGACACUUCAGCUGAGCCCUCUGUGAAAACACCAACCCCUGCAGGAGGUGGCAGGCGGAGGGGCCCAGGCUGCACUCAGGCUGUAGGAAGUUUGUUUCUGUGUUUGCCCUCCCCAUGGGCUGCACCAUCCUCAGUGCAGGGGCUUCAGCUUCCACACCUAGCACAGUGCCGGCCUUGCUGGACACUCAAGAAAGGUGAGUUCCCUCCUGCUGGCUGCCUCCGCCGCUGUCUCACCAGCCUGGGUGCUGGGUGGUGCCCGCACUCCUGGUGUGCUGCCUGCCUGCUUGCAGGAAGUCCUGAUGCCAGUGCACCCUUUGCUUGAAGAGCUAGUGAGCUCCCUGUGGGAGGUGGGGCCUCCUAACAGUCUCUCCGCACAUCCUGCCCUGCUCCUCCCAGCUUCCAGAUCAUGGAGGAUGCCCCCAGCUGCUGACUUGUACGCAGUGGCACUGCAAUUUCCAGAAGAAACCUCAGACCUGAAGAAUCUAUCUGCCCAGGCAUCUGCCCCUCCCACCCUGCUGAGAGUCCCUGUCCUCUCUGGAGCUGGCCUCCUGGGGCCCUUUUCCUCACUGUCAUGGCCCUUGGGAGACUUUCCUUCUCCCUUCCCUAGGAGGAAGCCCUCAAGCCCCAUGUCGGUGACCCUGGGGCAGCUCAGUGUUUCCUGCCUCAGCAGCUCUGCCCACCUCCAGUCCGUCAGCAGAUUCUCCCUUGCUGGUCUGGCCUUUCGCUCCAGCAGUGGCAGGCACAGCUGCCCACGUAUCUACUCCUGUGUCACCUGCAAUCUUGUCCCAGAAAGAAAGGCUGUAAGGAUGUUCUCAUCUGCUCCAUUCUCAUGCUUAAAGGGCAGGAAGGACCGUGGGACCUCCCCUCAGGGUCAGGGCCUGAUUGGACACAGUCACCAAAGGGCUCCCCGAGGGAGCUUCGUGAAAAAUGCCUGAUUGUCACAUGGUCACAGAACAACAUAAGCCAUAAUGCUAUCGUACCAUAUACCACUCAUUUCAUGUACUAAUUUCCUAUUUUGUCGUAUGGAAAAUAUUUGACAAUGCCUCUAGGGGAACAUUCGAGUGUGCACUGGGGGUGGUGCUGGUGAGUGCCUGCUGGAGUGAUCUGUGCGAAGCUGCAUGCUCACCCUUUCCCCCACCUACCCCACUUCCCUGAAUGUUGAGACUCAUUUAAAGUCGCAAUUUUUUUUAAGUCUCCUUUGCUGAGUAGCAGAGUUUCGCCUUCCAAGCGUGGAUGAUCGAUUCAGAAGUUCAGUUGUUCAUUCAUUAAAUAAGUCAAAUUUAUUGAGCACCUACUAUGCACCAGGUGCAAUGCAAGAUAGGCUGUGGGGUACAACAGUAAAUGAGACUGGCACAGCCCAGUCCUCAUGCAAUUGUGGGUCCGUUGGUUUGAGUCCUAAUUCUGCCAUUCGCUCUGUAACCCUGGGCAAGUCAUUUAAUCUUUCUGAACUUUAGUGCUUUUAUCUAUAAAGUGAAGAUUGGAAUUCUUGCCUCACUGAGUUUUCCUGGUACAUAGUUGACACUCAAUAAAUGGCAGCUAUUCUUUUUACUAUUUUCCAGGCCUUGAGCUUCCUUUUUUCUUCUCGCUGUGGAAAUUGCCUGGAAAGCUAUGAACUGUUGGUUCUUGAAUCAGUUGGCUGCCCCGGAUGUCUGAAUCCCUUGGAAGGAACCUGGAGGAGUUGGCUGAUGGGCUCCAGGUGCUACCGGAUCACCCUAACAACCCUCUGGGACCUGUGGCCAUGUGUUCACAACAGCAGCCAUUACAGGUGUUUCCUGAACUCUUGUCGCGAGCCUCUGUCGGCUCCAUCUCAUCGAUCCUCCCAGCAACCCACAAGGAAGCUUCACAGAGAGGCAGAUGCCACACAGGCCACCCACCCAGAUGCAGAGCCAGAUUCCCUGCGUGGACUGGACGGGAGUUUCCCAGCUGGAGUUCUCUCGGCCAAGCUGCCUGUGACAUGGGGUUGGAGGUGCUCCAGAGAGUCAUGGCCACCCCUGGAGGAAGUGACUUGUGGCUGACUGCUCAAGGGGAAGUCCUGUGGCAGUGGAGUCGUCAGCAUUAAUUCAAAUAAGAUCUCUCCCUGCACACAAUCUGCUUUCGUGUUCCUGAUGGAUUGAAUCAAGAGUGAAUGAGCUCCUACUUCGCGAAAGCAAAACAAACUAAACGCAUCAACCACGACCGCAGAGCCCCCAUCUCUCCCAGGAGGGUGAGCCCAUGUUGUGUUUUCAUUUGUCAGAAAUCUAUCUUAGGAAGCCAUUCCUGAGAUCUGUUCUAAUUUAGGCCAUUUUUAAAAAAAAUAAUGCAGUUGAUUCUUUUCCCGUGAUCUUUCUUUUCUCCAUGACUUAAAUUUCCCCAGGAACUAUUCAAAUGCCGCAUCUGGGGUUUUGUUUUUGUUUUUUGAUGAAGUCAUGACUUUCUUUAAACAGUAAUUAUUAAACAAACCAAAGGGAAACCUUCUGUGAGGAUGCUGUUUACAAAUAUCACCACUUUUACAAUCAGUAAUGGAGGUUGCAAAGUGCAGGAUUCUGAGUUCCAGUGAGUCUGGGGAGUUGCUUGAGUCUUCC